AGCCUUAAUGUCAAGAACCAUUUGAUGUUGAACUAUGAACUUGUCAUGCUCCUUUGUUGUGAUUUCUUCUACUAAUAUAUCAUGUUGAGAGUUUGGAAUAAAGGAACUUUCACGUGCUGAGAUAACCAAUGAAUCCUACACAACCUGAUAACACAUAAAUUGUUAAUUAUCAAAGUGGUUUAUAUAAUACUUAACAUAUGCACAACAAGUCCUACCUACAAUUUUCU
rnacentral:lncRNA from 1 species